AUGGAUGCCCUCAAUGGGAUUGGCACAUUCUCCAUUGCUCCUGUGCUGUUAUCAGCACUUCGGGUUCAUAAUGUACACACAGCAAUGGAUUUUCUGCAGCUGAUUUUCCAUAUUCUGUUUUCUUCGGGUAAGCAGAAACAGAUGCCUUCCUCACUGGUCACCAGGUUCAAGGUCCCUCAUAUGUGUCAGGUGCAUAGUCACCAACAAAGGCCAACUUCACAUCAAUGGGUGGAUCGUACCUCGGCCUAAGCUCCCGGAUUGAUUGUGCUGUUAGAGUCACAGCUACAACCGUGAGUAAUAAUUACAGUCCCACUUUCUGAAUGUCAUUUAAAAAGGAUAUUCCAUGCAGAUAUUUGAUCUGCUUAUAGUGUCCAGAAAAAGGCUUGUUAUCACCAACCUAGCUAGCACUACCUAUAAUUUGUACACACACACACACACACACACACACACACACACACACACACACACACANNNNNNNNNNAAUGCCAGAUGUCUUGGACUCAAAAGUCAAAGUGAACUUGGGUCCCCUUGAUAGUUCUGUGUCGUGUUGGUGACAGGAUACAAGCAUUGUGUUAUUGAUUUUGGUAUUUAUGGGCUUCGCUUUUAUUGUUGCAAUUUCAUAUAUUAAAAUUAGAAAAAGAAUCAAUGAACAAGUAUACAUUUCAACAGUUAAGCAUCAUUCAAUUAUGUAAAUGUCACAAAGGAAAGCAACCUAUCAAGCUAAAUUAAAAAUAUUGAAACCAAUUCAGGGUAACUUGGGGAAAAGGGCCGUUGAUAGUUCAGUGGUAGAGCCCUUGUCUUGGAUCCGUGAAGCACUGGGUUCUAUCCUCAGUAUCACAAAAUCGAAGAAAUAAAAAAGAUAAUAUCUAGGAAUGUUAGUUUUUU
rnacentral:lncRNA from 1 species